rnacentral:lncRNA from 10 species
CUUUGAUGCUGUCCCUAAAGCAGUGGGAAAGAGCUUCAGGUCUCUGAGCUUGACCAGUGUUUCAGCUCUCCCUUGGAGUCCCGGGAAACGUAUCUCUUGGGAUCAGGAGCUGGGAUGGAACCCAGGGCUCCUGAGAUGGGACAAAGCUAUGCUCUGUGCACCUGUCUUGCCUCCUCACUUUGUACAAUGAGUGUGCCUUCAGCCAAAAGCAGAACUGGAAACAUCCUAAGUGGGCCGGUAACGAGGCUAGCUCUGUCGACUAGUUCAAGACCCCUGAGCGCUUUGGGCCUGAGGUUCCUCAGCUUCCAAGUGAAAGGCUUCGACUUGGCAUUCUAAGAGACAAUCUCUGUGACCAUCAGUUUCCUCAUCUGUAAAACUGGCAUCAUGAUAACUUUGAAGAGACAAGAACUUGCUGUGUUGCCCAGGCUGGUCUUGAACUUCUGGCCUCAAGAAGAUCCUCCCACCUCGACCUCUCAAAGUGUUGGUAUUACAGACGUGAGCCACUGGGCCCCACUGUGUUCUGUUCUUAUUGCCCAUGACAAUUAAAGUUAGCUCUAUCUCAUCUCCAUGACCAUCACAAACACAUGCCAUUAAUUUUGCUCACCCAAAUCUCUAUGCUCUGACUUCUGGGCACCUAGUACUGGCUAAUGAGCUGUGAGCUGGGCCAGAGCAUAGAAUAGCUGGUGCGAGACCUUUUGAGAGUUCUAUCUCCCUCUGUCAUGGCAACCAGCCAUAUUCAAAAUGGCAACCAGCAAUAUUCAAAAUGAGGGCUACUGCCAGGCAUGCUGGCUCAUGCCUGUAAUCCCAG